AAACAGUCCCAGUGUCUUAUCAGAAUGAAGUCACAACUGAGUUUGGUGGGGUUUAUUCCCAAGAAAAUGGGUAGGGAAUUGCGGUCUCAGAGAUAACAGCCCAGACCAAAUGGUUAACCUCCCAGGGAUGGAAGCAGUUCUGUCAGCAAAACUGGGGAAGUCACCCCUAACACAUCUCACAGGCCCUCAACAUAGCCUCCCAAAGGGCUAGAAAACUCAAGUUGUGAGAGGGAAGACAGAAAGAGAAAAUUCCAUUCUGCUGGACCAGAACGUCGCUGCUAGGCGACAGCUUGUAAUUCGAGCUGAGGGCCUGUUAAUGUCCCUGAGAGGUGACUGAGGCAGUAUUUCCAUGCUUGUGAAACCAGAGUUCAAGAAAACCCCCUGCUUCAAUGCUAAAGACUGAUCACCAGACAAAGCAUCACCCUAGAGGUGAGAAAAGUUUGUUCUAUGACACUCAGCCAGAGGGCAGCUUGCGACUGCUCUGUGUGUGUGUGUGUGUGUGUGUGUGUGUGUGUGUGUGUGUGUGUGUGUGUGUGUGUGUGUGUGUGCGCACCCCACACAAUUUUAGGGUGAAGUACACCCCAGUCCUGGUGCAUAUGCUGCCUCUGACUUGGACACUCACAUUAGGGAAGACUUUCCCUCUUUCAGCCAUUGCCUCUAACACCUGUUUCUGGACUUAUUGGAACUUCACAUCGGAUUUAGCAGCCCCCCAAGGGCACUGGCAAGCUUCACAGCUCAGCAAAGGUUCGAAACCAGAGUUGCUCGGCCGAGUUUCCAAAUUCGACACCUUUCUCACUGAAACGAAUUACAAAUUUACUGAAGCACCUCGAGCCCUGUUCCUGGUCAGCUUACAAGACUGAGAAGUUGGCAGGAUGACUGAUAGAUAGCACAGACAUUGGUUCAGUGCAUGGAGAGGAAGCGUAAUCAUCAUACCCAUCACUACCUGCCACUCCUGUACAUCCACCACAGAGAGCCUGGAAGUCGCAUGUUAACAUUUCGUGGUAAUGAGGAGGCAUCAGCUUUCAUUUUGAAUAACUGUAAUGAUGGGUAGCAGUGUUCUUGC
rnacentral:lncRNA from 1 species